GACGAACGCUGGCGGCGUGCCUAAUACAUGCAAGUCGAACGCAGUGGGGACGGGUGAGUAACCCGUGGGUAACCUCCCAUCAGAGGGGAUAACACUUGGAAACAGGUGCUAAACCGAUACUGAUGGAUGGACCCGCGGGGCAUUAGCUAGUUGGUGAGGUAACGGCUCACCAAGGCCACGAUGCAUAGCUGACCUGAGGGGGUGACCGGCCACACGGGGACUGAGUCACGGCCCAGAAGCCUCGGGGAGGCAGCAGGAGGGAAUGUGGGGGAAUGGAUGAAAGUCUGACCGCGCAACGCCGCGCGAGGGAAGAAGGUUUUCGGAUCUCAAAACUCUGUUGUUAUAGAAGCGGUAGCUAUCCAGAAAGCCACGGCUAACUACGUGCCAGCAGCCGCGGUAAUAC
rnacentral:rRNA from 1 species